rnacentral:rRNA from 1 species
GAUGAACGCUGGCGGCGUGCCUAAUACAUGCAAGUCGAGCGAACAGACGAGGAGCUUGCUCCUCUGACUUUAUCGGCGGACGGGUGAGUACCACGUGGAUAACCUACCUAUAAGACUGGGAUAACUUCGGGAAACCGUAGCUACUACCGGAUAAUAUAUUGAACCGCAUUGUUCAAUCGUUAAAUUCGGUUUUUCUGUCACUUAUAGAUUAAUCCGCGCCGCAUUAGCUAGUUGGGAAGGUAACGGCUUACCAAGGCAACGAUGCGUAGCCGACCUGAGAGGGUGAUCGGAUAGACUGGAAGUGAGAAAGGGCAGAGACACCUAGGGGGGGAAGCAGUAGGGAAUCUUACGCGAGGGGGGAAAGGGGAACGGAGGAAAGCCGGGUGAAUGAUGAAGGACUUAGGAUCGGAAAACGAUGUUAGUAGGGAAGAAGAAAUGUGUAAGUAACUAGGAACGUGUUGACAGUACCGAAACAGAAAGCCACGGCUAACUACGUG